CCUACGGGUGGCAGCAGUGAGGAAUAUUGGUCAAUGGGCGCAAGCCUGAACCAGCCAAGUAGCGUGCAGGAUGACGGCCCUACGGGUUGUAAACUGCUUUUAUACGGGAAUAACGCGCCUUACGUGUAGGGCUCUGCAUGUACCGUAUGAAUAAGGACCGGCUAAUUCCGUGCCAGCAGCCGAGGGAAUACGGAAGGUCCGGGCGUUAUCCGGAUUUAUUGGGUUUAAAGGGAGCGUAGGCCGCCUGUCAAGCGUGCUGUGAAAUGCCCGGGCUCAACCCUGGCCUUGCAGAGCGAACUGGCGGGCUUGAGUCCGCGGAGGGCAGGCGGAAUUCGUGGUGUAGCGGUGAAAUGCUUAGAUAUGACGAAGAACCCCGAUUGCGAAGGCAGCUUGCUGCAGCGGAACUGACGCUGAUGCUCGAAAGCGCGGGUAUCGAACAGGAUUAGAUACCCUUGUAGUC
rnacentral:rRNA from 1 species